rnacentral:rRNA from 1 species
GGUCGAGUCCUAUCCGUCGUGGGCGUAGAAAUUUGAGAGGAGCUGUCUUAUACGAGAGGACCGGGAUGGACGCACCGCUGGUGUACCAGUUGUUCUGCCAAGGGCAUAGCUGGGUAGCUAUGUGCGGAAGGGAUAAGUGCUGAAAGCAUC